UACAAGGCAUGAACAUGCCAAAAGACAUGGACACACAUAAGCAUUACAUCGAACAUCUUGUUUAAAAGUUUGUCCGUGACAGGCUGGACAGCUUCUCCUUCACUUCCGCCCUCAAAGCUUGCUCGAAUCUUCUCGCCCUCGAGGAAGGGAUGGCCCUGCAUGGUCAUGUCCUGAAGUUGGGCCUGGGCGCCGACAUCUACAUUGCGACGUCGCUGAUGGACCUUUAUAGGAUGUGUUCUCAAGCACUGGAUGCUCGUAAGGUGUUCGAUCACAUGCCUGAUAAAGACAUUGUGGCUUGGAAUGUGAUGCUCUCUAGCUAUGCUCGCUUAGGUAUGAUGCGGCUCGCAGAACAGCUGUUUGAGGAGAUUCCCCUGCGAAAUGUUAACUCUUGGACUGCGUUGAUCUGUGGGUUCUUGGAAUGUGGAGAUUUAAGCGAAUCAAUGAUCGCCUUUCACCGAAUGCAGCUCCAUGGUUUGAAGCCUGACAAAGUCAUGGUUGUCACAAUGUUAUCUGCUAUUGCUGAUCUAGGAAUGCUGGAUUCAGGUAAGUGGUUUCAUGAGUAUGUGAAGAAGAAUGAGAUUGCAAUUGAUGCUUAUGUUGGCAAUGCACUCGUAGAUAUGUAUGCUAAAUACGGCAGUAUCCAGGAUGCCUGACUAGUGUUCGAUGAGAUAAUUCGAAAAAAUAUUUCAUGCUACAAUUCUAUGAUCUUCGGACUGGCUGCUCAUGGACUAGGGGAGGAAGCUCUUGAAAUAUUCACAGAUGCUGAGAGAACUGGGAUUGGAAUAGAUGACAUUACUAUGACUGCGGUUCUAACUGCAUGCAGCCACUCUGGCUUGGUCGAGGAAGGUCUGAAGUACUUUAAAACAAUGCAAAAUGUUUAUGGCAUUGAGCCUAAGAAGGAACAUUAUGGAUGCAUUGUUGAUCUUCUGGGAAGAGCUGGAAGAUUUGAUGAGGCAAUGCAGAUCAUAGAGACCACAGAGGAUGAUUCUUUCAUAUUGGGAACGUUAGCUGCAGCUUGUAGGACUCAUGGAAAUCUUGGGUUAGCCAAUGAACUAGUAAAAAACAUCUCCAAGUUGGAUCCAACAAAUUGUGGGUUUCUAGUGUUGCAAGCUAAUGCUGAAGCAGCUAGUGGGAGGUGGGAAGAGGCUGUAAAUGUUAGAAGACUGAUAAAGGAUACUAGAAUCAAGAAGAGGCCUAGUUGCAGUUGGAUUGAAGUGGGAAAUGAAGUGCACGAGUUUGUUGCUAGUGACAACUCUCAUCUAAAUUCAGUAAAGAGUGCGAGGUAUAUACGUUGAAUAGUGGCACAGGAAGAAUGGUUUAGACAUUGAAUUUAUUGACAAAUAAAGCAGACCAUGUUAACAACACCUCAAGGCAUUAGAAGGUUAGCCAAGUGAUCUGUGACACUGUUUGCUUCCUCAGAAAGAAGACUAGAUGAGACAAAAUAAAAGAAGAGGCAGAUGUAGAUUGGCAAGGAUGAUGUUACCACCAAGUGAUGAAGCCGGUGUUUGUCGCUGCAUCGUUGUCUGGUUCAUCUUGCUAGGUUUUUGAAGAGGUUCUCCAGAACUCCCUGUGCGCUGGGAAGCCAUGGCCUUCAUGGCAACGUAUCUGGGAGCCCUGAGAUGGCAUGGAAGGAAACAUUGGGUUGUGAAGCAACUGUUUCUGUUGCUGCUGACACCCCUCCUUCGGCUUAAGAGAGAAGAGAAGGUGUUGAUGCUUGAAGUAGCCGACAACAUCUUCACCAGUACGUCGAGGUUGACGUCGGGGAUCAGAGUUUAGUUUGAUCUCAGACGUCUCUCUCUCCGCAUAAAUAAAUAAAUAUUAUAUCUCAGGGAUAGAAUUU